AUUGAACGCUGGCGGCAUGCUUUACACAUGCAAGUCGAACGGCAGCACGGACUUCGGUCUGGUGGCGAGUGGCGAACGGGUGAGUAAUACAUCGGAACGUACUCAGUAAUGGGGGAUAACUAUCCGAAAGGAUAGCUAAUACAGCAUACGCCCUACGGGGGACAGAGGGGGAUCGCAAGACCUCUUGUUAUUGGAGCGGCCGAUGGCUGAUUAGCUCGUUGGUAGGGUAAAGGCCUACCAAGGCAACGAUCAGUAGCGGGUCUUAGAGGACGAUCCGCACCACUGGAAGUGAGACACGGUCAGACUCCUACGGGAGGCAGCAGUGGGGAAUCUUGGACAAUGGGCGCAAGCCUGAUCCAGCAAUGCCGCGUGCGUGAAGAAGGCCUUCGGGUUGUAGAGCGCUUUUGUCAGGGAGCAAAUCCAUUUGCUUAAUACCCGGGUGGGAUGACGGUACCCAAAGAAUAAGCACCGGCUAACUUCGUGCCAGCGGCCGCCGUAAAAC
rnacentral:rRNA from 1 species